rnacentral:lncRNA from 1 species
AUACCAAUUCCUAUCACUCACCGUCACUCCAGGGAGACAGAACACACAGAGAACACAUUACACAGGCAGGUUCAUUACUAACAGAUAAGCAGCGAGUGACAACAGAAACCUACAUUUCAAUGUGAGCCAGUCCCUCAAGGCUCAGAAAAGCUGCUCGAGACAUGUGGAGUCACCCCAUAUGCAGUGUAUCUGGGGGAAAUCAAAAAGCAGCCCAGCCUGGGUUUUGUACCCUGGAGCCACAGGAAGCACUCAGCUAAAGCACUGCAUGACGUCCUCCUCCAGGAAGAACAGGAAGACAGCCCAGGCUGUUCUGGGAUGUUCCUCCUGAUCUCAGGACGUUGCUGUCUUAGUCCAUUUUUGUUGCUCUAAAGGAACACUUGAGCCUGGGUAACUUCUAAAGACAAGAAAUGUGUUUGCCUCACAGUUCUGCAGGCUGUACUGGAAGCAUGGCACCAGCAUCUAUUUCUUGUGACGGCCUCAGGCUGCUCCCACUCUGGCAGAAGGGAAGGAGGGUCAAGUGAAGUCAUCUUGGCUCAUUGCAACCUCCGCCUCCUGGGUUCAAAUGAUUUUCCUGCCUCAGCCUCCCUAGUAGCUGGGAUUACAGGUGCACGCCACCAUGCCUGGCUACUUUUUGUUUUUUUUAGUAUAGAUGGGGUUUCCCCAUGUUGGCUGGGCUGCUCUCAAACUCAUGACCUCAACUGAGGUGCCCGCCUCGUUCCAGACCAGCCUGGCCAACGUGGUGAAACCCUAUCUCUACUAAAAAUACAAAAAUUAGCCGAGCACGAUGGUGCAUCCCUGUAAUCCCAGCUCCUAUUCUGGAGGAUGAAGCAGGAGAAUGACUUCAACCCAGUAGGUGGAGGUUGCAGUGAGUGGAGAUUGCAUCACUGCACUCCAGCCUGGGGGACACAAGGAGACUCUAUCUCAAAAAAUAAAAAUAAGAAAUACAUAAAUAUAAUAAAACACACACGAAUGACAAAGGCACCUGAAUUCCAAUCAUCGUUUUUCUAUUUCUCUAUAAUUACUUCUUUGAUCCUUUAUCUUAUCCAUUAGGCAAUGAGCUUAAAACCUCUUCCCUAUUUGGCUUUCUGUGAGAAUGAGAUCACAUAGAAAAUGUGAAAGCCCUCAGAAUCCUCCAGCACAGAUCGUGGAAUAGAGAAAGUGCUCUGUUCAUCGCAACAAAAAACUUGCCCACUCACCCAAAUCCCCCACCUCACCCCUACUUCCAAUCACCUGUGGAGAUUCAGAUAGGCUAUGGGGAGGUAAACAUUGAUACUCCUUGGAGUGAGUCCAGAUCUUGGAAUCAGAGAUCAGUGCCAGCACUAGCUCCUGCUCCCCUUUCCUACUAAUUCACAGGAGGACAGGUGGUAUUGAAGCAAUAGAUGGCCGAGGGGGUGGUCCUUCCCCCAGCCUCUCGGGUAGAACAGCAGCCUAAC